rnacentral:rRNA from 1 species
UACAGAGGGUGCAAGCGUUGUUCGGAAUUAUUGGGCGUAAAGCGCGUGUAGGCGGCUUUGCAAGUCGGGUGUGAAAGCCCUCAGCUCAACUGAGGAAGUGCGCCCGAAACUGCAGAGCUUGAGUGCCGGAGAGGGUCGCGGAAUUCCCGGUGUAGAGGUGAAAUUCGUAGAUAUCGGGAGGAACACCAGUGGCGAAGGCGGCGACCUGGGCCAAUAUUGACGCUGAGGUGCGAAAGCGUGGGGAGCAAACAGG